ACUCCUACGGGAGGCAGCAGUGGGGAAUCUUGGACAAUGGGGGCAACCCGUGAUCCAGCCAUGCCGCGUGAGUGAUGAAGGCCCUAGGGUCGUAAAGCUCUUUCGCCNGUGAAGAUAAUGACUGUAGCAGGUAAAGAAACCCCGCGUACAUCCGUGCCAGCAGCCGCGGUAAUACGGAGGGGGUUAGCGUUGUUCGGAAUUACUGGGCGUAAAGCGCGCGUAGGCGGACUGG
rnacentral:rRNA from 1 species